CAAAUAUACUGUGUUUUUUAAAGGACAAAAGGUGCUUUAAUUUGAUACAAAUUCUCAUUUAUAUUAAAAAAAAAUCUUCUUUUCUGUUUUGACAAUAAUAAGUUGUGCAUAAUUAGUGCAGGUUAAGAAAAACUAUUCAGAAUUAAUUAAUCCAUUUGUCCUGAUUUGCAGAGUACACAGGCACACAAGGACGCCGCAACAUGUUUUGUCUGGGCUAUGAUUAUAGCAAUGGGAAACAUUUCUGCUAAACAGGGGACCCGGUCAGGUGC